UCCUGGCACUCUGGGAGGAGGGCUCGGUAUAUAGGAGCCAUUGGCAUCACAUCUGUCAGACUGGCGCUCAGAGCUGGGGCAAUGGGAAAUGAGGGCACCCAGGAGGCAGGGAGGAGGGGCAGGGAUGUGUGACUGAUACUGCUGUUCCUCUAGCAGCUCCCGCUCAGAAAUGAUGGGCUAUGAGGUGGUUAGUUUUCUUCCAGCCUGGGAAAGUAAAAUGGUGGAGACAGUAGCCUAGAAAGUGCCAAGGAAGAGUCUAAGAGCUAGGGAGGAGGAAUUGCGCCACCGCUACCCAGGGAGAACUCAUUUGGGCUGGCAAUCUGGCCCUUUGUGAGAACAUGGAAGGAGGCAGCAAGGUGACCGGGCUGUGAGGUGGGGUGGGCACUGGCACUACCCAUGGAGCCUGGCACAAGCUCUGGAUUGUAUGGAGUGGGGAAGGGAGGCAGUGCCUCUUGCCAGUCUAGUUGAGAGGGUUGUGCUAGGAAUGAGAAGGGAGGAGGCAGAUGUUGUAUGUGUGUGUUUGUGUGUAUGUGGGGGGGGGGUGUUUGGGAGAAGAGACUUUUUUCUGCCAGGACCUCCUUCCCAUUCCUUCUUAGGCUUGGGGAAUGGAGCAACAGAUGGAGAGAGGCAUGAGGACACAAAGGAAGAAGCGCACCAUUUCUAGGACCCCAAGGAAGAAGGAUGGAGAGCCGUUGGCAGUCCUGCCUAGCCCUCAGCCAGUUCCCUGAUGAAGAUGGCCAAAUCCUCUUGCCUGCAUCUCUGGAUGGCAGCUUCAGAAGCAGCAAGGUGGUUUCCACGCAGAGGAGAAAGCAGUGAGGUGCUCAGCCAAGGGGCAACCUUAUUUUGCAGAUGAGGAAACCAAGAAACAGAAAGGUUGAGUAAGCUGCUGAUUAGACAAGGUGGUGAAACUAGAAAGGACUGCUGGACACUCAUGACAGAGCCAGACCUCAAAGUCAUGGCCUGGGCUCCUCCAUCCAGCUGGAUUGUCCGUCAGACAUGGCACAGGCAAAAUGAGCCUCCAAAAGACUAAAAGUCAGGAUUCCUGGGCUGCCUCCAGCUGACUGGAAGCACCAAGGCUCCCAGUGGUAGAAGAACAUGACUUUUGGAUUCAUGCAGACCCAGGCUCAAGCCUGGCUCCACGCACUAACUGCAUAACCUUGGUAAACUACUUACUGAGCCUCAGUUUCCUAUCUGCAAAAAUGGGAAUAAUAAUACCUUUCUGACUGGGAUGUGGGGAAGAUGACAACAGGUGAGAUAACAUGUAACAAAGUGCAUAUACUGGGUAUUCACUGAGGUUCUUUUCCUUCUUUCUUGGCUGUUUCCUCCAAUAGAGUGCACAGGCUGGCAACUCCUUCUGCCUUGUCCCUUCCUUGGCUGAACUCAUCCUCUAAUUUCUGCUCUUUUCAAUCGAGGGCAGACUCUUAAGCAGACACGAUUUAAAUUUAGUCUACCUAGCAGGAAGUUCAUGUCUCAUUUGGUCUUUUGAGAAAGCCCCACUAUCCCAGAGCAGAGGCUGGACACUGCCCAGGCUCACACUCAGACUGAGUGCAGAAGCAGCCAACACCUGAAUCAAAACUAUUAUGUCCUCUCCCUGCCUCUAAAACUAUUGUUUUCUGUCUCUAAAUAUCACCUCCUAUACUUAAAAAGAAAGCAAAAAACAGUAAUCCUAUCACUCUAUUUUUAUUCUACCUCUCUGUCCUGCAAAUGUUGAGGGAAUACUUACUUUGUGUAAGUUUUGCCCAAAAGAGAGGGAGAAAGUGAGUAUGGCAGGUUAAGAGUAUUUAUGGAGAUGGGGGGAGGAAAAGGAGUGUCAAAGAGGGCAAAGAGAGAGAUAGCCAAGGCAAAGAGGAGGGAGGAAGAAAGGAUGUAGUGGUAGUGGAGCAAGGAGAGGGUAAAGAAGCUGGAUCUUGAUGUGCAUUAGUAAAUAUUUAAUCUCAUCAAGGCCUCCCAGCUCUGGCACCAGACUGGGCAGGUGGCCUGUCCCUGGUGAGAGGGAUGAAGCAAGCAGGCUGUGUGUUACACCUUGCAAGAUGUUUCAGGUGGGUGUGAGGGAACUGUGUAAGGAGAAAAGGAGACAGGAGAAGAAGGGGGUGGGUAGGGAGGAGGUGGGUAGAAGGAAAGCUGUGGACUAAAACCACAACCAGUGUAUUGAACAUACGUCCACAUUUGCAUGGAUUUGUGGCAUGUGCUGCAGGGUGUCUACUGCUGGUGGGGUGGGUGUCCUGGUGAGAAGCCUCUCUGCCCAUGCAGCCUCCUUGAAGACCGAGUUAGGACAACAGCGUGGAGCUGUUCUGUUGCACGGAUCUGUGUGAUCAUGAAUAAAAGUUUAUUGUAGGUACACUGGAGACAUGUGAUAGAGGUGCUCUUGUGCUCACAUAUCUCAGUUUUAGACAAACACACAAAACCAGCUCUGAACCCUUCUUUUAUAUGAGCACUUGGGAGUGAGGGGACAGGGAGUUGUGUCCUUGAAUUCAGAUUCAGGAUCAUAUCUGAUCCUGACUUGGGGGGACCUCUGUAGAAGAGACCUUUGAUCUCCCUGAACUUGAAGAAAUCAUGUGCAAUUCUAUAAUUGUUUGAAGGAUACUAUUAUCAGUGACUGUAUAUAAAUAAAUCUUUCAGUUCUUUGAUUCUACAGGAAUCCAUGUGAUAUGAUGACUCCAUUUAAAUAUUAUUACAACAUCAGCACAACUAAUAAUUAUUGUAUUAAUAAUAAUAAUAGCUACCAUCUUUUGAAUUCUUACCAUGUGGCGGACAUGCUGUUGGAAGCAUCACAUCACCCAACCCCCCACCCAGAUCCCCAAUCUGAUGAGACAGAUACAGCUAUUCAUUCCCAUUUACAUAUGUGCAAAUGGACUAACAGGGGCUAAAUAAUUUUUAAGGUCUUCCAUUUAGAAAGAAGUAGAGUCAUGAUUGGGAGUCAGGUAGCCUGAUCCCAAUACCUCUGUUCUUGGGUUAAUUUGUAAGAUUCUGAACUCUGGCUGGUUUGCAUUUUGAGUGAGUUCUUUUGAGUUUGAGUGGGCUACUCUGCCCUUAUGGUGUCACCUUGAGCACAUGUGCUGUCAAGCUCCUCCUGGAGCUUGAAGGUGCUAGAUGGGCCUCUCCCAGUUAGUUUCUUAGUAUAAAAUGGGCGAGAACAGGAUCCAAGCUUUGUGCAACUCCAGGGGGCGCCAUUCACAUUACAGUCUAUGCAGUGGUCUUGGCCAUCCCUUCUGUGUGUGUGGGGGGAGGUACAGAGAGGGAGAGAGGACAAGUACACACAGGUAGGGUUAUUUGAUGAUGAUGUGUGUGCCCAUUUGUGAUAAUGUCUCCUAAAGCUGAAAGUCAACACAAAGGUAUCCUUAUUAGCAUAUGAACAUUAUCAGAUAAGCAGUAAGUAUUAUUUUGAAACACAGCCUUUAGAGUCAGACAGACCUGGAGUCAAAUUCCAGUUCAAUUCCCUAAUAUGUAAAUGUCCUCAGAUGGGUCACUUAAUUCUCUAAGCGUCAGUUUCUUCAUCUAUUGAAUGGGGAAUAUUAUCUCAUGAAGUUAGGUCAAUUGAGAUGAUUGUUAUUAAGAUUGGCACUUUGUAAGUGAUCAAUAAAUGAAAAGGAUAAUUAC